AUUGAACGCUGGCGGCAGGCCUAACACAUGCAAGUCGAGCGGAUGAGAGGAGCUUGCUUCUCGAUUCAGCGGCGGACGGGUGAGUAAUGCCUAGGAAUCUGCCUGGUAGUGGGGGGCAACGUUUCGAAAGGAACGCUAAUACCGCAUACGUCCUACGGGAGAAAGCAGGGGACCUUCGGGCCUUGCGCUAUCAGAUGAGCCUCGGUAGGAUUAGCUAGUUGGUGAGGUAAUGGCUCACAAAGGCGACGAUCCGUAACUGGUCUGAGAGGAUGAUCAGUCACACUGGAACUGAGACACGGUCCAGACUCCUAAGGGAGGCAGCAGUGGGGAAUAUUGGACAAUGGGCGAAAGCCUGAUCCAGCCAUGCCGCGUGUGUGAAGAAGGUCUUCGGAUUGUAAAGCACUUUAAGUUGGGAGGAAGGGCUGUAGAUUAAUACUCUGCAAUUUUGACGUUACCGACAGAAUAAGCACCGGCUAACUCUGUGCCAGCAGCCGCAGUAAAAC
rnacentral:rRNA from 1 species